rnacentral:rRNA from 1 species
UACGUAGGGGGCAAGCGUUGUCCGGAUUUACUGGGCGUAAAGCGCACGCAGGCGGUCUCUUAAGUUUGGAGUGACAGUUGGUGGCUUAACUGCCAAAGUGCUUCGAAAACUGAGAGACUUGAGGGCUUCAGAGGGACACGGAAUUCCGGGUGGAGUGGUGAAAUGCGUAGAGAUCCGGAGGAACACCAAAGGCGAAGGCAGUGUCCUGGGGAGUACCUGACGCUCAGGUGCGAAAGCCAGGGGAGCGAACGGG